GCAUGGAAUAAUGAAAUAGGACGUGCGGUUCUAUUUUGUUGGUUUUUGGAAUCGCCGUAAUGAUUAAUAGGGACAGUCGGGGGCAUUAGUACUCACAUGCUAGAGGUGAAAUUCUUGGAUUUUGUGAAGACUAACUUCUGCGAAAGCAUUUGCCAAGGAUGUUUUCAUUAAUCAAGAACGAAGGUUAGGGUAUCGAAAACGAUUAGAUACCGUUGUAGUCUUAACAGUAAACUAUGCCGACUAGGGAUCGGACGGGAUUCU
rnacentral:rRNA from 1 species